rnacentral:rRNA from 1 species
UACGUAGGUGGCAAGCGUUAUCCGGAAUUAUUGGGCGUAAAGCGCGCGUAGGCGGCGAGAUUAGUCUGAUGUGAAAGCCCCCGGCUCAACCGGGGAAGGUCAUUGGAAACUGUUUCGCUUGAGUGCAGAAGAGGAGAGUGGAAUUCCAUGUGUAGCGGUGGAAUGCGUAGAUAUAUGGAAGAACACCAGUGGCGAAGGCGACAUUCUGGUCUGUUACUGACACUGAGGCUCGAAAGCGUGGGGAGCAAACAGG